rnacentral:rRNA from 1 species
GAUGGACGCUGGCGGCGUGCCUAAUACAUGCAAGUCGAGCGAACGGGCGAGAAGCUUGCUUCUCUGAUGUUAGCGGCGGACGGGUGAGUAACAUGUGUAUAACCUACCUAUAUGACUGGGAUCACUUUGGGAAACCGGAGCUUAUACCGGAGAAUAUUUUGAACCGCAAGGUUCAAAAGUGAAAGACGGUCUUGCUGUCACUGAUAGCUGGUUCCGCGCUGCGUUAGCUAGUUGGUAAGGUAACGGCUUUCCAAGGCAACGAUGCCUAGCCGAUCUGAGGGGGUGGUCGGUCACACGAGAACUGGGACCGGGUCCUGACUCCUACGGGAGGGAGCAGUAGAGCACCUUCCGCACUGGUCGAGAGCCUUGCGCAGCAUCACCGCGUGAGUGCUGCAGAUCUUCAGUUCGAAAAGCUCUGUUAUUAGUAGCGAACACUUGUGUAAGUAACUGUGGACAUAUUGACGGUACCUUAUAAGAAAGCCGCGGCUAACUACGUG